CUUUGAUAUCUAACAUGUUCUUGUUAUUCUAUUUGUUUCUACUCUCAUUUUUAAACAGAAAAUAAAAUGAUCUAAGCCUAAGUCCUUUCUUUAGGAGUUCUUACGUGGAAAGGACUUUGCCCAAUGAUUCCUUGUUGAAAUACAGUGUAACAAUACAAAGGAAAAGGAUAGUUGACAUCAUUGAUAUAUAGGCGCCAUGUCAAGGUGGCAUUCAGCAAAGAAACCAUGGAGCUCACUGAAGCCUGUUAUGUACAAACAAGAGCAUCGAUUCCGGAUGAAAAACAUUCCAGCAGUCUUGCUUCCCUCUUUAAAACUGGGCAUAUCAAUAAUUCAUUUUCACCAAGCUGUGGG
rnacentral:lncRNA from 1 species